rnacentral:rRNA from 1 species
AACGGAGGUGGCUAGCGUUACUCGGAUUUACUGGGUGUAAAGGGUGCGUAGGCGGGCAUGUGCGUCGGAGGUUAAAUACAACGGCUUAACCGUUGAACUGCCUUCGAAACGGCAUGUCUUGAAUGUGGGAGAGGAUGAUGGAAUUCCUGGUGUAGCGGUGAAAUGCGUAGAUAUCAGGAGGAACACCGGUGGCGAAGGCGGUCAUCUGGCCCACUAUUGACGCUGAGGCACGAAAGCGUGGGGAGCAAACAGG